rnacentral:rRNA from 1 species
UACAACGGGAUACCCGAGGGAAACUUCGGUUAAUACGGUAUAAGACCACACUACCGCAUGGUAGAGGGGUAAAAGGGGCAACCUGGUAUGAGAUGGACUCGCGUCGCAUUAGCUAGUUGGUGAGGUAACGGCCCACCAAGGCGACGAUGCGUAGCCGACCUGAGAGGGUGAUCGGCCACAUUGGGACUGAGAUACGGCCCAGACUCCUACGGGAGGCAGCAGUGGGGAAUAUUGGGCAAUGGAGGAAACUCUGACCCAGCAAUGCCGCGUGAAUGAAGAAGGUCUUCGGAUUGUAAAGUUCUUUAGUCAGGGAAGAAGUCAAUGACGGUACCUGAAGAAUAAGCUCCGGCUAACUACGUGCCAGCAGCCGCGGUAAUACGUAGGGAGCAAGCGUUGUUCGGAAUGACUGGGCGUAAAGGGUGCGUAGGCGGUUGUACAAGUUAGAAGUGAAAUACCCAGGGCUUAACUCGGGUGCUGCUUCUAAAACUGUAUGACUUGAGUGCAGUAGAGGUUAGUGGAAUUCCUAGUGUAGCGGUGGAAUGCGUAGAUAUUAGGAGGAACACCAGAGGCGAAGGCGGCUAACUGGACUGCAACUGACGCUGAGGCACGAAAGUGUGGGGAGCAAACAGGAUUAGAUACCCUGGUAGUCCACACUGUAAACGAUGGAUACUAGAUGUAGGAGGUAUCGACUCCUUCUGCGUCGCAG